GUCCUGGGAUGACCUGUGGCGGAAGGUAAACCGAAGGUGACUGCGGUUAACGUCCUCGAUGGGAAUGGCCACCUUCAAGAAUUGAAAAAGAAGUUUAAGCACUGUUAUCAAUAUCGUCCAGCAUAACAGCUUUAUUCAACUGGAGCUAUCAGAAGUUUUCACGAAACCAAUUUCAAUGAAUGAGAGACUUUUAAUUCACAAUUCAAUAUCUCGAGAGAAAUGAAAAAUAUGCAACUGUGAAGUUCUCAUGGGAGAAGUCCUGAGCACACUGCAAGGCAUCCUGGGACCACAGUCUCAAGGGUCACAGAGGAAGGAACUUCAGGGCUGAGACCUGCAGGAAGCGAGGGAACUGAGGCCUGUCCUCACCCAGGGGAGGUGGAGCCCUCAGAUGCUGUGAUAUGAAAUUCCAGAUCAUGGGAGGGAGAGUUUGAAGGAAGGAUGAACCACCAAUAGAAAGCGGUCCCCAAAGAGGUAUCGGGGAUGGCACCCAGACAGGAGCACAUGUACCACUGCCCAGAAUGUGCAUUUCACUAGACAAGUGACGACAAAAAUUUUCACUGUGACUUGAAAAUGCCCACUCCUCCCAGAAGUUCAAGGAACUGGACCCUCGGGCAUGAGCCCAAGGUUCACCAGCUUCAAAGAUCUUGGCCACACACUAGUGAGCCUGGCAGAGCCAGGCUUCUGGUCCUCUUUCCCAGUGAUUUCCUGCUGGCCUGACACCAAACUCCACUUUCCCUGAACGACUCUAAUAAAAGUUUAUCAAAACUCUGAUGACUGCAAAAGAAACUGGAGAUCCGAGGGC
rnacentral:antisense_RNA from 1 species